ACUCUACAUUUCUCUGCGCUGGCCAUCCGAGCGUCUGCCUCAACGCCGCUGUUCGACUCUCAGCCUAGCUCGCCAGCAGCCCUUUGCCCUUCCCCCUCACCUCCCCACACUAGCAGCAAGGAUGUCGCCUGUUCCCUGGUGGCCGAACCUGGCCCCUGCGCCCAGCCCAUCUCCUUGGACGCCGCCAACCCUGGUGCUUGCCCGGGAACUGCCCUUUCCUGUCCAUGGUACCCAAGCUCUGCUCGACACCCCUUCCAGCGCGCGUCCUUGCUCCCUUUGUCGCUGCUCCCCACCGUGCCGAGUGUCCAGCUCGUCGGCCGAACUCCCUCAACGCCAGCCUCCAUGGCAGCCAGCGCUCCACUUCUCCCUGCAGGCGCCCCCUCACUGGAUCUCCUCCAUUUGUGACCAGCGCCGCUCCCUGGUCCGACUCCAAUCUCAGCGCGACACCUCCACCUCGGGGAAUAGUGGCAGUCCCAACGUCUCUAUGUCCCGUGGCUGCUCGUCGAGCUCAACCCAAGCCGAGGUCUUGUACGCAGCAGCAAGCCUCGGAUCCCUCCGCGUCGCAUGCGUCGACUCUAUUUGCAACCCUGUGCUGUCGAUCUGUGCAGUCCCGACGUCUUCGCAUCUCGCUUCGCCGGAUCUGUCAGCCUCGUUGCUCCUCGUCCGGUACGUUAAUUGAUCACGUGCUAUGGAAGACGAGUGGAAGUGAUCUCCAAGUGAUGCUGAUGGACGAAGCUAAAAUGGAUGAAUCAACCAAGUGCCAGGAUGGAAGAUGCUCACCAAGUGGUCGUCAAUUAACAACACUAACAUAGUGUUAUCCCAGGCAAGCCCCGGUGCAUUUGCCACCUCCUUGUUGUUUUAAAACUUUUAUCACUUAUAUGCUGCAUUAGGUGAUAGGAGUUGAGUGAUGAAAGAAUUGAUGCAUUGCCAUUCCUUGGAAUUCGAUUACUAUUCCUUGA